GGAAACUGCCUGAUGGAGGGGGAUAACUACUGGAAACGGUGGCUAAUACCGCAUAACGUCGCACAGAGAGCUUGCUCUCGGGUGACGAGUGGCGGACGGGUGAGUAAUGUCUGGGAAACUGCCUGAUGGAGGGGGAUAACUACUGGAAACGGUGGCUAAUACCGCAUAACGUCGCAAGACCAAAGAGGGGGACCUUCGGGCCUCUUGCCAUCAGAUGUGCCCAGAUGGGAUUAGCUUGUUGGUGAGGUAACGGCUCACCAAGGCGACGAUCCCUAGCUGGUCUGAGAGGAUGACCAGCCACACUGGAACUGAGACACGGUCCAGACUCCUACGGGAGGCAGCAGUGGGGAAUAUUGCACAAUGGGCGCAAGCCUGAUGCAGCCAUGCCGCGUGUAUGAAGAAGGCCUUCGGGUUGUAAAGUACUUUCAGCGGGGAGGAAGGUGUUGUGGUUAAUAACCGCAGCAAUUGACGUUACCCGCAGAAGAAGCACCGGCUAACUCCGUGCCAGCAGCCGCGGUAAUACGGAGGGUGCAAGCGUUAAUCGGAAUUACUGGGCGUAAAGCGCACGCAGGCGGUCUGUCAAGUCGGAUGUGAAAUCCCCGGGCUCAACCUGGGAACUGCAUUCGAAACUGGCAGGCUUGAGUCUUGUAGAGGGGGGUAGAAUUCCAGGUGUAGCGGUGAAAUGCGUAGAGAUCUGGAGGAAUACCGGUGGCGAAGGCGGCCCCCUGGACAAAGACUGACGCUCAGGUGCGAAAGCGUGGGGAGCAAACAGGAUUAGAUACCCUGGUAGUCCACGCCGUAAACGAUGUCUACUUGGAGGUUGUGCCCUUGAGGCGUGGCUUCCGGAGCUAACGCGUUAAGUAGACCGCCUGGGGAGUACGGCCGCAAGGUUAAAACUCAAAUGAAUUGACGGGGGCCCGCACAAGCGGUGGAGCAUGUGGUUUAAUUCGAUGCAACGCGAAGAACCUUACCUGGUCUUGACAUCCACAGAAGAAUCCAGAGAUGGAUUUGUGCCUUCGGGAACUGUGAGACAGGUGCUGCAUGGCUGUCGUCAGCUCGUGUUGUGAAAUGUUGGGUUAAGUCCCGCAACGAGCGCAACCCUUAUCCUUUGUUGCCAGCG
rnacentral:rRNA from 1 species